ACAGAUGGGAGCUUGCUCCCUGAUGUUAGCGGCGGACGGGUGAGUAACACGUGGGUAACCUGCCUGUAAGACUGGGAUAACUCCGGGAAACCGGGGCUAAUACCGGAUGGUUGUUUGAACCGCAUGGUUCAAACAUAAAAGGUGGCUUCGGCUACCACUUACAGAUGGACCCGCGGCGCAUUAGCUAGUUGGUGAGGUAACGGCUCACCAAGGCGACGAUGCGUAGCCGACCUGAGAGGGUGAUCGGCCACACUGGGACUGAGACACGGCCCAGACUCCUACGGGAGGCAGCAGUAGGGAAUCUUCCGCAAUGGACGAAAGUCUGACGGAGCAACGCCGCGUGAGUGAUGAAGGUUUUCGGAUCGUAAAGCUCUGUUGUUAGGGAAGAACAAGUACCGUUCGAAUAGGGCGGUACCUUGACGGUACCUAACCAGAAAGCCACGGCUAACUACGUGCCAGCAGCCGCGGUAAUACGUAGGUGGCAAGCGUUGUCCGGAAUUAUUGGGCGUAAAGGGCUCGCAGGCGGUUUCUUAAGUCUGAUGUGAAAGCCCCCGGCUCAACCGGGGAGGGUCAUUGGAAACUGGGGAACUUGAGUGCAGAAGAGGAGAGUGGAAUUCCACGUGUAGCGGUGAAAUGCGUAGAGAUGUGGAGGAACACCAGUGGCGAAGGCGACUCUCUGGUCUGUAACUGACGCUGAGGAGCGAAAGCGUGGGGAGCGAACAGGAUUAGAUACCCUGGUAGUCCACGCCGUAAACGAUGAGUGCUAAGUGUUAGGGGGUUUCCGCCCCUUAGUGCUGCAGCUAACGCAUUAAGCA
rnacentral:rRNA from 1 species